AUAAUCCUUGUCUUGGGGAGCAUAAUGUCUCGAGGAACGUAUAGUGAGAGCAUUGCUGCUGACACCCAAAUAAUUUAAAAUAACCCCGCUAAAGAGUAUGCUUUGGCGGAAUUUUUGCAAAG